GGGGAACAGACCGAUGAUGAUCCCCCUGCAGCUCAGCCUCCAUGGGCCUCAGCUUGCCAACCAGGCCACAUUCCAGCAGGGGGUUUUCCCCUCUUACGGAUACUUCCCUAUGUUCUCACCUCAGUACAGGAAUCAGCUGCCGUCCUCCCCAUAUGGAUUCCCCAUGGUUCUUGAGACACCUCCACCUCAAAGUCCAGCAAAUCAACCUCUGGGAGGUCAG